CCUACGGGAAGGCAGCAGUGAGGAAUAUGCACAUGGCGAAAGCUGAUGCAGCACGCCGCGUGCGGAUGACGCUCGGGUGUAACGCUUUCAGUCGACGAAGCGCAAGUGACGGUAGAACAGAAGAAGGACCGGCCAACUACGUGCCAGCAGCCGCGGUGAUACGUAGGGUCCGAGCGUGUCCGGAAUUAUUGGGCGUAAAGGGCUUGUAGGCGGUUCGUCACGUCGGAAGUGAAAACUCAGGGCUUAACCCUGUGCUGCUUCCGAUACGGGCAAACUAGAGGAAUGCAGGGGAGAACGGAAUUCCUGGUGGAGCGGUGGAAUGCGCAGAUAUCAGGAGGAACACCGGUGGCGAAGGCGGUUCUCUGGGCAUUUCCUGACGCUGAGAAGCGAAAGCGUGGGGAGCAAACAGGCUUAGAUACCCUGGUAGUCCACGCCGUAAACGGUGGGCACUAGGUGUGGGGAACAUUCCACGUUCUCCGUGCCGAAGCUAACGCAUUAAGUGCCCCGCCUGGGGAGUACGGCCGCAAGGCUAAAACUCAAAGGAAUUGACGGGGGCCCGCACAAGCGGCGGAGCAUGCGGAUUAAUUCGAUGCAACGCGAAGAACCUUACCUGGGUUUGACAUAUACCGGAAAGCUGCAGAGAUGUAGCCCCCGCAAGGUCGGUAUACAGGUGGUGCAUGGCUGUCGUCAGCUCGUGUCGUGAGAUGUUGGGUUAAGUCCCGCAACGAGCGCAACCCUCGUCCUAUGUUGCCAGCGGAUAAUGCCGGGGACUCAUAGGAGACUGCCGGGGUCAACUCGGAGGAAGGUGGGGAUGACGUCAAGUCAUCAUGCCCCUUAAGUCCAGGGCUUCACGCAUGCUACAAUGGCUGGUACAAAGGGCUGCAAUACCGCAAGGUUGAGCGAAUCCCAAAAAGCCAGUCUCAGUUCGGAUUGGGGUCUGCAACUCGACCCCAUGAAGUCGGAGUCGCUAGUAAUCGCAGAUCAGCAACGCCGCGGUGAAUACGUUCCCGGG
rnacentral:rRNA from 1 species